AUGUGGCAAUGAUGAUAAGUGUUAAUUCCAGCUCAUUAUGAGACCUUCCUAGGUCAGGGAAUUGAACUGAUUAAACAUCUUUCUGAGCUUACAU